rnacentral:lncRNA from 1 species
AGGAGGAGAAGGGGAGGGAGAAGAAAUGAAAUCGGCAAAGGAAGAUCUUACCUGGAGGUUUGGUAAGGAAGCCUGGGAGGUUGAAGCGGGGCCGAUCCCGUCUGUCCUCGGAUGAAUGGGGGCUUGGGUGAAGUGAAGGUGCCUCGAAUUUGAAAUCAUUCCAAGUUUUUGAAGGGAAGCCGGACUGCAGCCUCUGCCAUGUUGGAAUUUCAAACCCAAAACAGCUGCUUUGCAAACGAGCCAGCAUGCCAGCCGCUGAACGCCUGCGCAGAGCGCCGCCGAGCCAAAUUUAAAUCACUUUCACACUAAGAGCCAAAGAUCAGUUUUCAACCAAAAAGAAGAAGAAGAAGAAGAAGAAGGAGAGGAGGAGAGGAAGGAGGGAGGGGGGCCGGCUGGUUGGUUGGCUGGUGUUGGGGUGGGAGAAGAGAGGAGCUGCUCGACUCGAGAGGAAGAUCAUCCGCCGCCGACGCGCGCGCCACAUUCACGGGCAAGCCGGCGAGCGAGAGAGGAACUCAAUGGCCGCGCGCGCUUGCUAGUUGCUACCGCCGCAGCCCCCGCCGCCGCCGCCGCCAGCACCGCCGCCGCCGCGCCACCACCACCAGGCCCCUGGCUACCCAGGUCAGGUUACAGAGCAGGGGCCGCCGCCGCUUGCAAGGAGCCACGCUAACGCUGCUGCUGCUGCUGCCUGGAGCUGGAGGUGGCCGCGAGGUCAUGAUAGAGCAGCCGCCAAGCUCCGCCGCCCCUUCUGCGGCCGCCGGGGGGAAGAAGAAGUAGGGAACUUGGGGAGUUGCUGCGAUCCCCGCCACGCCGCCCGAGCUCCUCCUCGCCGCCUCUGCCUCCCGCAGCAGCCGCAGAAAGAGUUCGCCGAGCCGCGCGGGCACUUUCCCCCCGGCAGCCCGGGGAGCCCCAUAUUCCCGAUCCCGGCCGGUCGGCCGCGGUCCGCGCGCCCCCCUCCUGCCCGCCCCCCCCGGCAAAAGCAGCGCCGGCAGUGCUCGGCGUCUCAGGCUUCCUGUCCCCCCCCCCCCCCCCCCCCCCCCUCCCCCUUUUUUGAGAGAAGCAGCAGCGGUAGCAAUCGCCGCGGCGGCAGUGGCGCCACCGGCAGCUCUCCUCCUGCUCCGACCCGUAGCAGCGCGGCGGCGGCGGCCGUCAAUGGCUCUGCCUGUGUCCGGUGCAGCCCGCUCGCCGUAGAGACUCAUUGGGUAGCCUGUGGGACGCCGUAUGGGGCGAACUGCUCCCGAGAAGCCCGAGCCCGGAGGGGGCUGCAGGCCGAGAGCGCCCGCGCAUUUACUUGGGAGUCAAAAAGUGACACCGCGCGCGUCCCAUUGUGCUUCCUCCCCAUCCAGGCAGAUGCAAGUUUUUCUUCAUUGCAGUAUUUAUAACACAGAGGCAAAGCUAUUCUAGAUGGUCCUGCACAUAUAGGAGCAUUUGUAUCCCUAAAGUUAAGUUGUUUUUAUUUUUUUUUAAAAAAAAAUGCUUAU